AAUAGAUACCCUGGUAGUCCACGCCGUAAACGAUGGAUGCUAGCUGUUAUGAGUAUCGACCCUUGUAGUAGCGAAGCUAACGCGUUAAGCAUCCCGCCUGUGGAGUACGAGCGCAAGCUUAAAACAUAAAGGAAUUGACGGGGACCCGCACAAGCGGUGGAGCGUGUUGUUUAAUUCGAUGAUAAGCGAAGAACCUUACCAAGGCUUGACAUCCCUGGAAUUUCUCCGAAAGGAGAGAGUGCCUUCGGGAAUCAGGUGACAGGUGAUGCAUGGCCGUCGUCAGCUCGUGUCGUGAGAUGUUUGGUUAAGUCCAUCAACGAGCGCAACCCUUGUAAAUAGUUGAAUUUUUCUAUUUAGACUGCCUCGGUAACGGGGAGGAAGGAGGGGAUGAUGUCAGGUCAGUAUUUCCCUUACGCCUUGGGCUACAAACACGCUACAAUGGCCGGUACAAAGGGCAGCCAACCCGCGAGGGGGAGCAAAUCCCAUCAAAACCGGUCUCAGUUCGGAUAGCAGGCUGAAAUUCGCCUGCUUGAAGCCGG
rnacentral:rRNA from 1 species